rnacentral:rRNA from 1 species
AGCAGCCGCGGUAAUUCCAGCUCCAAUAGCGUAUAUUAAAGUUGUUGCAGUUAAAAAGCUCGUAGUUGAAUUUCGGGGUUAGUAGGUUGGUCAUGCCACUGGUAUGUACUGAUCUUACUGAUUCCUCCUUCCUGAUGAACCGUAAUGCCAUUAAUUUGGUGUUGCGGGGAGACUGGACUGUUACUUUGAAAAAAUUAGAGUGUUUAAAGCAGGCUAACGCUUGAAUACAUUAGCAUGGAAUAAUGAAAUAGGACGUUCGAUCCUAUUUUGUUGGUUUCUAGGAUUGACGUAAUGAUUAAUAGGGAUAGUUGGGGGCAUUAGUAUUCAAUUGUCAGAGGUGAAAUUCUUGGAUUUAUUGAAGACUAACUACUGCGAAAGCAUUUGCCAAGGAUGUUUUCAUUAAUCAAGAACGAAAGUUAGGGGAUCGAAGACGAUCAGAUACCGUCGUAGUCUUAACCAUAAACUAUGCCGACUAGGGAUCGGAUGAUGUUAAUUUUUUAAUGACUCAUUCAGCGUACCG